rnacentral:tRNA from 1 species
GGCGGCGUAUCCGAAUUGGCACAGGAGGGGGACUUAAAAUCCUCUGGCCGAAAGGCCGUGUGGGUUCGACUCCCACCGCCGCUACCA